UACGAAGGGGGCUAGCGUUGCUCGGAAUUACUGGGCGUAAAGGGCGCGUAGGCGGAUACUUAAGUUGGGGGUGAAAGCCCGGGGCUCAACCUCGGAAUUGCCUUCAAUACUGGGUAUCUUGAGUUCGGGAGAGGGGAGUGGAACUCCGAGUGUAGAGGUGAAAUUCGUAGAUAUUCGGAAGAACACCAGUGGCGAAGGCGACUCACUGGCCCGAUACUGACGCUGAGGCGCGAAAGCGUGGGGAGCAAACAGG
rnacentral:rRNA from 1 species